CUUGAAACCAAAAACUACAAUGCAAAAGUUCUGUCACCUUCUGCUCUGCUCUGUUUUGAUCCCUUAUGCCAGUUUGGCACCCACCACUCCGAAAUCAAGAGAACCCGACCUGGAGACUAUCAUUGCUCAAACUCUGAAAUUAUCACAUAAUAUCGCUACAGACCCAGGAAAGGAUGGAGAGGUGAAGAUUGUUUCAGAGGAAUUCAACAGGAAGGAGCCUAAAUGCAUACAGACACAUAUAAAGACUUUUUCUGAUGGUUUACAUGAAAGGGACCAAGCAAUCAAGAAAAACCUGGAGAGGAUUGCUGCACGCUUCAAUGCUUCUUCAUGUCCCUCACUCGAU
ensembl:lncRNA